UACGAAGGGGGCGAGCGUUAUUCGGAAUCACUGGGCGUAAAGCGUGCGUAGGCUGUUCAGAAAGUCAGGAGUGAAAGCCCAAGGCUCAACCUUGGAAGUGCUCUUGAAACUUCUGGACUAGAAUUCAGGAGAGGAUAGCGGAAUUCCCAGUGUAGCAGUGAAAUGCGUAGAUAUUGGGAGGAACACCAGUGGCGCAAGCGGCUAUCUGGACUGACAUUGACGCUGAGGCACGAAAGCGUGGGGAGCGAACAGG
rnacentral:rRNA from 1 species